UUGCAAUGAUGACUAACUUAGGACACCUUUGGAAUAAACCAUGAAAAUAACAAACAUAUCCUGAGCAAC